UGUGUGUGUGUGUGUGUGUGUGUGUGUGUGUGUGCGUUUGUCAAAGUGACAUAUGGGGACAUUUUUAUGAAAUUUCACCUUACAUAUGAGGACCUGUUGAAAUAUGGGGACAUUUUCCAUGUCCCCAUAUUUCCCGCAAUGCUAUCGUGUUCUAGACCCUCCCAGCAUGUUCCCAGACCAAAAAUCUCUGAAGUCUUCAUUUGUCAAAUUUUCAGAAAAAGUGUGUGAAAGUGUGUUUAAUUUUUUUGCUCACCUUCGAUUUUGCCCCUAGUGGCCAUCUUUGCUAUUAUGACACACACACACACACACUUGUCCUCAUAUGUCAUAUGUCCUCAUAUGUCAUGUGGGUCAGAAACUCACACACUACUACAUUUUGAAAAACCUCUAAUCAUUACAGCAAUAAACAUACUUUUGAAAUCUAAAUCAAAUAACACAUUUUCAACUGAUCUGAUGAUCCCAACCUUUUUUAUGUUAGUUUUAUCUAUUCAUUUGGUUUAUCUGGAGAGGAUUUGGGCUAGACAAUUAGUAAUAAAGGGAUUAUGGUGAUGAUUUAAUCGGUUUGAUUCAGUAUUUUACUGUAUUGGGCUUUUUGCUAUUAUGUUGACUAAAAUACAAUGCCGCACAAUAAUUAAUUUAAAUGUGCCUGAAAUGUAGGUUUUUGCAUAAAUGCCUCCCCCCCCCCCACUCCACCCCCUCCCAAAAAAAAACAAAAAAACAACCCUCAACUUUGAUUGAGACUAAGGCAAUAAUUCAAAUGCAAUUCAAACUACACACAGUAUUUAAUAUUUUCAAAUGGUUACAAUAGCACAUGAUUUUGGUAUUUUUAUCUUUGGGACAAAUUUUGGAUUCAAUUGGCGAUUGUUUUUGGAGGUAUUCAUUUUACAUGGUGUUCAAGAUGGUUACUUCCGCCUACUCUGAAAAGUCUCGGCGUCUGAUUGGUCCAAUUUUCAGUUAGGCGCUGCCUGAUUGGCCGGUGGAUGAUGUCGGAUCCUAACAGAGGGCUAAAUCACUAGUUUAUUAUUUUCCUCAUGGAAGUUAUACAGUUCACGUAUCACACUUAAUAUUGAAUAUAUAUAAAAAGGGUUUUCCAAAAGGACCACUUAUAAGCGAAAUACAAAACUUCACACACGAUUUUGAGCACAACAGGGCGCUCAGUGAACAGCACUUCCGGGACGUGCAUCACCAGAGGGGGACAUCUAUCUUGGCCACAAACCAUCUUUGACAGUCUUCGACAGCAUGGUUGAAUCAGGCGCAUCAACACAUGAUGUAGACAUCGUGUCCAAAAGAAGAGCAAGACGUAAUCCUGAGGCUGAAGCCACCGAGUUUAUGUGAUCUGGAUGUGACAAGUCUUGUUUUAAGGCCCAGUGGAUCAAUGAUUGGAAAGACACCAACUGUUGAUGUUCUAUCUCAACAUUCUCCAGAUUCAUGUGAGCGAUAAACCGACUUCAUCCCUCCAACAGACACCAACUGUUGGGGUUCUAUCUCAACAUUCUCCAGAUUCAGAUGUGAGCGAUAAACCGACUUCAUCCCUCCAACAGAAACCAACUGUUGAGGUUCCAUCUCAACAUUCUCCAGAUUCAGAUGUGAGCCAUUAACUGACUUCAUCCCUCCAACAGAAACCAACUGUUGAGGUUCUAUCUCAACAUUCUCUAGAUUCAGAUGACAGCCAUAAACCGACUUCAUCCCUCCAACAGAUUGACAGCAGGACAAAUCGCUGGAAGUAGGUAUGUCUCAAGCUUCUUCCACUUGGUCCACUCCAAAGCGGGCUGCAAAGGGGAAGAAGUGGAAGCAGUUGAAUGACACAUGUUGCAUUUUGUAACUGGCAACAAAGUACCAGGUAAAAAAGAUUGUAAAGCCUGCCUCCAUAAAGAACUAGUAGCUCUACAGGACAGAGAUUGGCUUGCCAUCAAGUACUACAUCCAUAACAGAAUUAUAUUAAAAAAAGGGAAAACAAAUGUUUUCCCACAUCUUCUGUGGUAGUUUGAGUAUGUUACCAGCAAUUAAAAAAGCAAAAUAAACAGCAAGCGUUUUGUAUUUAUUCCAGAUAAUUCUUAGCGACAAAAUCCACAAAAACAAUUCAGUUACACUUAGUCGACAAUUACAUUUUUACCCAUGUUUCUUUUAAACUCUUCUUGGUUUUAGAUUACAGUAGCAAGGGAUUGGGA